UAAGCGCCAUAUCAGCAAUGAACCAACAACGAACACUUGUUGCAAUCACGCCACAAGACACUGUUCUAUAUUAAGCAAAAUACGACAGAGUAUAAAAGGAAGUACUAUUCCUUCAUUCAGACAUAACACAAUUUUUGUGCAAAUUUAAUCCUCAUUUUCACUUCAUUCAACGAAAACAAAUCAAAAUCCAAAAAUGGGUGCUGAAAAAGUAACAAUGAACAUCGUUGUCGUCGGACAAGUCCAAUCUGCCAAGGCCAUCAAAUCGAUUGCUAAAGCCACCCCAGCCACCAGCCAGUUGAUGAACUGUUAAUUCAUGACGUCCAUAGCAAUCUCAAAUUCAAAAAUGCCAUAGCCCAAACAGUACUUAAUAUUUUUAUAAUUCGUUGAUAAUUAUAAUGUGUAUUGACAUUACAAAAUAAAUCAGUAACUUCCGUCACUUAA